AUACGGAGGGUGCAAGCGUUAUUCGGAAUCACUGGGCGUAAAGGACGCGUAGGCGGAUUGGCAAGUCAGAUGUGAAAUCCUACAGCUUAACUGUAGAACUGCAUUUGAAACUGCUAACCUAGAGUAUGGGAGGGGGAGAUGGAAUUAGUGGUGUAGGGGUAAAAUCCGUAGAUAUCACUAGGAAUACCGAAAGCGAAGGCGAUCUCCUGGAACAUAACUGACGCUAAGGCGUGAAAGCGUGGGGAGCAAACAGGAUUAGAAACCCUAGUAGUCC
rnacentral:rRNA from 1 species